CGGACCUCAGAUCAGACAAGACCACCCGCUGAGUUUAAGCAUAUCACUAAGCGGAGGAAAAGAAA
rnacentral:rRNA from 1 species